rnacentral:rRNA from 1 species
GACGUAGGGGGCGAGCGUUGUCCGGAUUUAUUGGGCGUAAAGCGUGCGUAGGCGGCUGCGCAAGUCGGGUGUGAAACCCCGGGGCUCAACCCCGGAACUGCAUCCGAUACUGCGUGGCUAGAGGUAGGUAGGGGAGAUCGGAAUUCCUGGUGUAGCGGUGAAAUGCGCAGAGUAUCAGGAGGAACACCGGUGGCGAAGGCGGAUCUCUGGGCCUUACCUGACGCUCAGGCACGAAAGCUAGGGGAGCGAACAGG